rnacentral:rRNA from 1 species
UACGUAGGGUGCAAGCGUUGUCCGGAAUUAUUGGGCGUAAAGAGCUCGUAGGCGGUCUGUCGCGUCUGCUGUGAAAUCCCGGGGCUCAACCCCGGGCUUGCAGUGGAUACGGGCAGACUAGAGUUCGGUAGGGGAGACUGGAAUUCCUGGUGUAGCGGUGAAAUGCGCAGAUAUCAGGAGGAACACCGGUGGCGAAGGCGGGUCUCUGGGCAGUAACUGACGCUGAGGAGCGGAAGCGUGGGGAGCGAACAGG